ensembl:snoRNA
UGGUCAAUGAUGACACGACCACUGAGCAAUCAGAGUUCUAGAACCAGAUGAUGGAAUGUGUGCUAAGAAUGGACUGAGACCA